GACGAACCGUGCAAACGUUAUUCGGAAUCACUGGGCUUAAAGGGCGCGUAGGCGGCCUUCUAAGUCGAACGUGAAAUCCCCGGGCUCAACCCGGGAACUGCGUCCGAUACUGGAAGGCUUGAAUCCGAGAGAGGGAUGCGGAAUUCCAGGUGUAGCGGUGAAAUGCGUAGAUAUCUGGAGGAACACCGGUGGCGAAGGCGGCAUCCUGGACCGGCAUUGACGCUGAGGCGCGAAAGCCAGGGGAGCAAACGGG
rnacentral:rRNA from 1 species